GCCUGGGUGGCUCAGCUGGUUGAGCGUCUGACUUCGGCUCAGGUCAUAAUCUCACGGUUCAUGGGUUCGAGCCCCACGUCAGGUU
rnacentral:tRNA from 1 species